rnacentral:rRNA from 1 species
AGUGAACGCUGGCGGUAGGCCUAACACAUGCAAGUCGAACGGCAGCACAGUAAGAGCUUGCUCUUACGGGUGGCGAGUGGCGGACGGGUGAGGAAUACAUCGGAAUCUACUUUUUCGUGGGGGAUAACGUAGGGAAACUUACGCUAAUACCGCAUACGACCUACGGGUGAAAGCAGGGGAUCUUCGGACCUUGCGCGAUUGAAUGAGCCGAUGUCGGAUUAGCUAGUUGGCGGGGUAAAGGCCCACCAAGGCGACGAUCCGUAGCUGGUCUGAGAGGAUGAAGAGCCACACUGAAAGUGAGAGACGGUCCAGACUCCUACGGGAGGCAGCAGUGGGGAAUAUUGGACAAUGGGGGCAAGCCUGAUCCAGCCAUACCGCGUGGGUGAAGAAGGCCUUCGGGUUGUAAAGCCCUUUUGUUGGGAAAGAAAAGCAGCAGGUUAAUACCCCGCUGUUCUGACGGUACCCAAAGAAUAAGCACCGGCUAACUUCGUG